AAUAUUGGACAAUGGGGGCAACCCUGAUCCGGCCAUGCCGCGUGUGUGAAGAAGGUCUUCGGAUUGUAAAGCACUUUACGUUGGGAGGAAGGUCUCUAGGUUAAUCACCUGACGUUUUGACGUUACCAACAGAAUAAGCAUCGGCUAACUCUGUGCCAUCAACCGCGGUAAUCAAGAGUGUGCAAGCGUUAAUCGGAAUUACUGGGCGUAAAGCGCGCGUAGGUGGUUCAGUAAGAUGGGUGUGAAAUCCCCGGGCUUAACCUGGGAACUGCUUUCAUAACUGCUGAGCUAGAGUACGGUAGAGGGUAGUGGAAUUUCCUGUGUAGCGGUGAAAUGCGUAGAUAUAGGAAGGAACACCAGUGGCGAAGGCGACUACCUGGACUGAUACUGACACUGAGGUGCGAAAGCGUGGGGAGAGAACA
rnacentral:rRNA from 1 species